rnacentral:lncRNA from 1 species
GGACUGGUGUGUAGGAGUGCACCACCACUGAAACAGGCAUUCAGAUACUUCUCUCCUGGGAAUAGGGUUCAGAAAACUGGCUGGUGAGAUGUAAUCACCUUGGUUAAACUUUCCCUUUGAGAACUCUUGCCCUGUUUUUCCCCACACAUGCCAGCCAUCCCAGACCCCAUUUAACAAGAGAUACAUGAUGAGGUCCCCAGUGGAUGACUUCAUGACUGCUUUUAAUUAUAUGUUAAUAUGUUGUUCCCUUCCUCAUUCAAAGAUUUCAUUAUCUUGCAGCAAAGCAUGUGAAAGAAAAAGGAUUCAUGUCUCCCUGUCUUUAAGAAAACAUAUGACCUCUUCAGCAGCAAUUCCUCUCAAUCAUCAGCAAGAUAGAGACCAGAAGGUCUACAUUUCUUACUGGAGGGCACUGUUGCUGGACUAGACUGCCUCUCUGGGACUUGUAUUUCCUCCGUGUUUCCCUUCCCAUGCAGAACCCGCUGUUCCAAGAAACAAGUGAAUAAUUUACUGGCUGAACUGAGCAUAUUCAUCUUAUCUGCGAAUUAAGCUAAGGGUUCUCUCAAAUACAUAAAUUAUUGGGAAUUUGUCAUAAUCAUUUGGGAAAUAUGUCUUCAUUUACAGGAUUGAUGAGCAAUUCACUGAAGGCGUUGGAAGUCAUACUGGCUGCCUGGCAGGGAACAGCCAGGACCAGCUGCUCCCUGAGGGCCAGGGAGCCAAGAGGGCUGGGAGUGCAAGAUGAGGUGAGGGCCUGGGGGCCUGUGGCCAUAGUUCAGGUGAAGGCCAAGGACAAGAGCUUCAGCUGAAGGAGCUCCCAAGGGCCAGGGAGCCAGUGUUGGUUCUGGCAGUGGCCUCCCGACCAAGCUGCCUGGGAAUGCUCCCCAUGGCAGGUCCUGAGCCCUGGCAGCCAGACCUCUAGCAGUAAGGAGGACGUGCUCAGGGCCCCACGGCUGCCUGGAUACGUGGCUUUGGAUAAAUCUUUGAUGAGCCAGGAUUCUACGCUGUAACACAGAUAACUAUCUCUGAAAACGCAGAAUUUUCUUCUGGAAAAAUAUUUAAUAAUUUUUUAUUAAAUUAUCACAGACCAGAACUUCCUGACGCCUCUCAAAAUUUGAAUUUC